UAUGUAUUUAUGUGGGAUUUGUUAUUUAAUUAUUUGACGUUUUUAUGCAAAAGGCAGCACGAAAGGUGGGAAGAAUUUGUUGCGGACCAGUUUCACGGGGAAAGUAUGCUGAAGCUGAAUGAAUAUAUAUGUAUAUUUGAUC